GAUGAACGCUGGCGGCGUGCCUAAUACAUGCAAGUCGAGCGAACGGACGAGAAGCUUGCUUCUCUGAUGUUAGCGGCGGACGGGUGAGUAACACGUGGAUAACCUACCUAUAAGACUGGGAUAACUUCGGGAAACCGGAGCUAAUACCGGAUGAUAUUUUGAACCGCAUGGUUCAAAAGUGAAAGACGGUCUUGCUGUCACUUAUAGAUGGAUCCGCGCUGCAUUAGCUAGUUGGUAAGGUAACGGCUUACCAAGGCAACGAUGCAUAGCCGACCUGAGAGGGGGGGCAGCCACACGGGAACGGAGACACGGUCCAGACUCCUACGGGAGGCAGCAGUAGGGAAUAUUCCGCAAUGGUCGAAAGACUGACGGAGCAACGCCGCGGGAGUGAUGAAGGUCUUCGGAUCGUAAAACUCUGUUAUUAGGGAAGAACAAAAGUGUAAGUAACUGUGCACAUCUUGACGGUACCUAAUCAGAAAGCCACGGCUAACUACGUG
rnacentral:rRNA from 1 species